GGGAAUAUAGCACUGUGGUAGAGCACUUACCUCAUAUGCAAGAAGCCCUGAGUUCACUUCCCAGUACUGCAA
rnacentral:tRNA from 1 species